CUCUUUCACAAUCUUUACUUCUUCAAACUCACACAUCCUAACUGGUUCAUUUUGGUCAUAUUUGAAAUUCGAAAGGGAACAUAGAGGUCAACUAAUUGAUCGAGAAGACAAGACACUCACUUGCCCUAACAAGGUCAGUCUGGCUUCGUCAAGCUCCUCAUAAACAUGCCUAUUUUUUUCCUGUUUACAACUUUGUUGUGGGCAAAGGCGAUGCAUCGCAAGCAAUUAGCUGCCAUAUCUUUAAUAAAUCUCCUGAACUAUAUUCUUUCUUUCAUGUCGAUGGCUUUUGUUAUCCCUCUUAGAUGAAUCAUUGUGAUGAAAGUGGGAUAACAAAAGUCAUUGACGUAGAGGAAAGGAUUUAGCUCUGGAGAUUUAUUAAAGAUAGGGUAGCUAAUUGCUUGCCAUGCAGCCUUUGCCCACAAAAUAGUUGCAAGAAAAGAAAGUGGAUGUGUCGUGACGAGCUCAUCGAACCGAACUGGUCUUAUUAGCCCUAAUGGGUUUCAAGGAUAUGUGUUGCCCACAAAAAGCCAUGUUUGUAGAAAUCAGAAGAAGUUACCAAGCUAAUGAUGGGUUGAGAGUGGAAUAAGAAGUGUGAGUUCAUAAGAGGGGAAGAAAGUGUGGUUUCAAGUUACAACACGAAUAUUCAAACGUUCAUGUAGUUUAAUUUCACCAUACUCUGAUUGUGCUGCCCUUGUCCUCAACUUUGUUGUUAAUUUGUUUCUCAAGAAAAUGUUCUAAAUAUUUCUAUCUC